rnacentral:rRNA from 1 species
UACAGGGGGUGCAAACGUUGCUCGGAAUCAUUGGGCGUAAAGCGCACGUAGGCGGUCUGUUAUGUCGGAUGUGAAAGCCCUUGGCUCAACUGAGGAAGUGCAUCCGAAACUGGCAGGCUAGAGUACUAAAGAGGGUCGCGGAAUUCCCGGUGUAGAGGUGAAAUUCGUAGAUAUCGGGAGGAACACCAGUGGCGAAGGCGACUACCUGGCCUGUUCUUGACGCUGAGGCGCGAAAGCUAGGGGAGCAAACGGG